ncrna:unclassified sequences pemK RNA
AUAAUGAUACUUCCGUCCAGUCACAGUCCGAGCGGUAACCAAUCCGUCGCAGGCAAUGAGGACGGCCGCGGGUGAUCCUCGCGGUGGUGAGAUUCCAAUGU